UACGUAGGCAGCGAGCGUUGUUCGGAAUUACUGGGCGUAAAGGGCUCGUAGGCGGCCAACUAAGUCGGAUGUGAAAUCCCCAGGCUUAACCUGGGAACUGCAUCCGAUACUGGAUGGCUUGAAUCCGGGAGAGGGAUGCAGAAUUCCAGGUGUAGCGGUGAAAUGCGUAGAUAUCUGGAGGAAUACCGGUGGCGAAGGCGGCAUCCUGGACCGGCAUUGACGCUGAUGAGCGAAAGCUAGGGGAGCAAACGGG
rnacentral:rRNA from 1 species